rnacentral:rRNA from 1 species
AGUGAACGCUGGCGGUAGGCCUAACACAUGCAAGUCGAACGGCAGCACAGCAGUAGCAAUACUGUGGGUGGCGAGUGGCGGACGGGUGAGGAAUACAUCGGAAUCUACCUUUUCGUGGGGGAUAACGUAGGGAAACUUACGCUAAUACCGCAUAAGACCUUCGGGUGGAAAGACCGGGGACCGUUCGGGCCGUCGGCGCGGAUAGAUGAGCCGAUGUCGGAUUAGCUUGUUGGCGGGGUAAAACGGACCCACCAAGGCGACGAUCCGUAGCUGGUCUGAGAGGAUGAUCAGCCACACU